GUUUGAUGUUGACAUACCUUCAGUAUUUGAAGUCUCCAGAAAAGAGGGAAGAAACUUGGGCAUGGCCUGGCAAGAAGCAACGAUGCCUUCCACACCAUACCUCCCAGACCAGACCAGCAGUGACCUGUUCUUCGCCCUGCCAGUCGUUCCUCACCUGCUCAGUUUCCUCAAGAAGAACUGGAUGGCCGGAGAGUGCCUUUGACAAGAUGAAGACGGAGCUGAGAAUCAGCUUCCUUCCCUGGAUACUGCUGUGCAGAGUUCUCAGCUAGAGCGCACCA